GACGAACGCUGGCGGCGUGCUUAACACAUGCAAGUCGAACGGAAAGACCCUGCUUUUGUGGGGUGCUCGAGUGGCGAACGGGUGAGUAACACGUGAGUAACCUGCCCUUGACUUUGGGAUAACUUCAGGAAACUGGGGCUAAUACCGGAUAGGAGCUCCUGCUGCAUGGUGGGGGUUGGAAAGUUUCGGCGGUUGGGGAUGGACUCGCGGCUUAUCAGCUUGUUGGUGGGGUAGUGGCUUACCAAGGCUCUGACGGGUAGCCGGCCUGAGAGGGUGACCGGCCACAUUGGGACUGAGAUACGGCCCAGACUCCUACGGGAGGCAGCAGUGGGGAAUAUUGCACAAUGGGCGGAAGCCUGAUGCAGCAACGCCGCGUGCGGGAUGACGGCCUUCGGGUUGUAAACCGCUUUCGCCUGUGACGAAGCGUGAGUGACGGUAAUGGGUAAAGAAGCACCGGCUAACUACGUG
rnacentral:rRNA from 1 species